AGGUGAGGUUGCGGAUGAAACAAAAGAUUCACCGCCACUUAACAAAUUUGAAAUAAGUGAGGAAGUUCACAGUGCUGUUGCCGAUGGAGCAAAAGUUUCACAACCAAUCAACACAUUGGAAAUGAGUGAGGAACUUAACAUUUCAGGUGAAGUUGCCGAUGUAACA